rnacentral:rRNA from 1 species
UAGGGAAUCUUCCGCAAUGGACGCAAGUCUGACGGAGCAACGCCGCGUGAGUGAAGAAGGAUUUCGGUUCGUAAAACUCUGUUGUUAGAGAAGAACAGCGCAUAGAGUAACUGUUAUGCGUGUGACGGUAUCUAACCAGAAAGCCACGGCUAACUACGUGCCAGCAGCCGCGGUAAUACGUAGGUGGCAAGCGUUGUCCGGAUUUAUUGGGCGUAAAGCGAGCGCAGGCGGUCAAUUAAGUCUGAUGUGAAAGCCCCCGGCUCAACCGGGGAGAGUCAUUGGAAACUGGUUGACUUGAGUGCAGAAAAGGAGAGUGGAAUUCCAUGUGUAGCGGUGAAAUGCGUAAAUAUAUGGAGGAACACCAGUGGCAAAGGCGACUCUCUGGUCUGUAACUGACGCUGAGGUUCGAAAGCGUGGGUAGCAAACAGG